UCUCCUCUCUUCUCCUCCCUUUCCUCCCCUCCCCUUACUUUCUCUUCCCUUUUCCACUUUAUUUUUGGAAAGGGCGUCUGGAGGAUGAUUAAAUCUGAACAGAUGAUACUUUCAGUGGCACAUUUAGCAUCUAUCUGAGGAGGCUUCUAUGGGCACAGCCUUGCUGUUUUCUUUUUUUAAAUAUCAAACCGGCCAAUGUGUUUAAAUGGUUUUGUCUGUUGCCUUCUGUCCUCAUGUUUCACAAGUACAACCAGUGAAUCAUGUACAAUCUUAUUUACUUUUCUUACAACACAGAAGUGAAGGCCUCUUGUGGGAGUCACUGCUUAAAGUCAGAGAAGGGCUUCAGUUUUAAAGAGCAUCUCCAGCAGAACACCCAAAUUCAGCUAAAAAUGUCAACCUUCAUUUCAUGCAAAACUUCACAGCCUCAGCCUCUGCUGUGAUGCUGAACAGGGCUGUGCACAUUAGGGUUUGCUUUACAGGUGCCCACCUCACACACUGUGUUCAGGUAAGUUUGUACCCUUGCAAGUUGCACCCUUGUUUGCACUUUCUUGCUGUUGUGGUGUAUGGUAGGGUCAGCACGCACCUCCCUGACCCCGCACCCACUGGCAGAGGCUUUUCAGCACCCAAAAUGGGCUUUCUCCGGGCCUUAGUUAACUUCCUGAUAAAUGCAGCAGCAUUAAUUAUUCAUCAAACUGCUGAUAAGGCAAUUAAAUUUCUCUCCCUUUGAAGGUAGCAGUACUUAUUUCUAUAAUGAGAGAAAAGGAGGAGGCUGAAGAAGCAACUACAGGUGUGCAGAGCAAGGGCUUCUCAUCUGCUGCUCUUAUACUGUGCAUGAAAAGCCUGUCUUUUAUGGAGAUGUCAGUAGCAAUCUCACUUGCUUUUAAGAGAAACAAGUGCCUUUAACCAUUUAAACCCACUUAAACAUAGGGCUUUUGUUCUUUGAUUAAAGACAUAAAGCAGAGAGAAAACAUCCCGGCUGCCCAUGAGCAUCCUGCUGGGUGGGGGUCAGCAGGGGCCAGCACAGGUCAUGAGUGCUGUGCCACCCUCCUGACCCCAGCCCGUGACAAACCCAUCCAUGCAGCCCAGGCUGGGAACUGCAGCCGGGGCUCAGCCUUCACUGCAGGGUGCAGCAGGGAGAAAUGCCCUCACCUCUGGGUGAUGCCCUACCCCAUCUCACAUGCCACAUCCCAGAACAGCCAUUUGCCUGGUGCUUGAAGCACUGGCUGCACCAGCUUUGUCCCUUCACAUGCUGGGCAGCUUUGUGCAGCCCACCAGAGUUACAGGGAGAUGUGGGAUGCAGGAGAGCAGGAAUUUGGGUGCAGCCAUCCAGCCCCCAGCCCCCAGUAAUGAACUUUCUGGGCACCAGCUCUGAGCAGCCUGAAGUUCUACCAGCAUCUAGGAAUGCUGUUUUUGCUCCCUGAUUUUGAUACCGAUAUCACCAUGUUGGUUAAAUAGAAAAGAAAGCAGAGAGACUGCUUUCACAUGUUCACAGUGCUUCCAGCCUCACUGUAAAUAGCCCAGGAGAAAGGUGGUGGUGCCUACCUGCAGGCACUGGGCUGCCCACAUGCUGACUGUGAGCCAUGUCAUUAAGGGAACAAGGUAUCCCUGACAUAACAGUGUUAUUUUUGACAUUAAAAAUGUGAUAAGGUUAAGGAGAUUGUCUGGACCAGACUCAAUUAGCUCAUGGCUGGAGUGAAACCAUGGAGGCUUUGUAGAGCAGGCUGAAGCACCACAACAGAGCUGCAUAAAAGCCCAGAGACAGACACCCCAUCUCCUUUCUUCACACUUUAAAGUUGUUUGCUGGCUUGUCAGAUUUAAAUCUGUUUCUUGUGCCAUAGCUGGCUUGGAAUUCAUCUCAGCCUACAGCAGGAAACGUGUCAGCACCCAAAACUACAGCAAGAAGAAAGUUGUUCUGUGUCUGGGCAGACCAGGAAAAGGAAAGAUGGUGGCAAGAGAAAAAAAGCAGUCGAUUUCAAUUUCUAUUUAUCCCUCUAGCCUUUGCACAAGGCAUCAGGGAAUGAGCAUGGACAAAAAAAGGCUUAGAAAUGCAUCUCUCUGGCCGAGCUAUGCUUGCUUAGCCCCACUCCACCAGAACACCAGAACACGUUGCCUGAGCUGGUGGUCUCUAGCAAGGACAAUGCUACCACCUAGGCAAGGUCUUUUUGACUCACUGAUUUAUUGGUUCGUGGACAAAAGGCAAAAAUAAACUCCUGGAAUCCCAGAUCCCAGCAGGGGAGAGAGGAAUUCCUGGUGUAGCUGCAGGACAGCAGUGUUGCAGGUGUGCUGCUGCGCUGCAGAGUAGCUAGCACUGAACCACACCUGUUGGUCAUGAAGCACUAAGGAGAUUACAUGUCAUGUAAAACAGAUGUGGUGGUAAUAUGUCAGAAAUAAAGCCAUUUCCCUAUGAAAUACAGGAACAUGGUAUCUGCACUUGUCUACCAGACCUCACAGCACUGGAUGGAUGCCCAGGGAUGCGGUGGAGAACAUCCUACCUUGAGGUGCUCAAGAGAAGGGUAGAUGUGGCACUGUGGGACAUGGUUAGUCAGCAUGGUGGUGAUGGGCUGGCAGGUGGACUGGGUGAUCUUAGUGGUCUUUUCCAACCUCAAUAAUUGUAUGAUUCUAUUAAUCUGGUUCAGGAACCAUGUUGGAGUCAGCAUAUGAACCACAUCACAACCUUCCACGUCUAACAUCAGCAUGACGGGGCUACAGCGAAUGCCGUUCCCACUGUCCCUGGGUCCUCCUGUAGCAGAGACAGAGAAGAAUCGUGCAGGUGCAGGAAAGGUGCUGCUGCAGUUAAAGCAGACAUGCCACCCGCAGUAUCUUUUAGAGCCAGAGGCUGCAGUGUCCUGAGAGGCCACAGCACUGGCAGCCACAGCUGCGGGACUCUUCAUGGAGUUGAUAAUGGUUGUUUGGAAACCAGAAGGCACCACAAAGAGUCAUAAAACUAGAGAAAACUGUUGUCAAGGGAGGAGAGACGCAUCCAGUCAGAGCAAGAGAGGUGAGAUGCUAUUUGAAGUUUGUGCCUGAGCACUUUCGUGGAGAAGAAGCCUCAGCUACGCCCAGUCUUCUUCAUGUGGGAGGGGAUACAGAGCCAGCAUCUUGGGCUGCAACAUGAAGCCAAGGAAGUUCAGCAGAGCCCGUGGUUUUGGCAGUGAGGCUGGUGAGCCUUGAGGCGAACUGCCCCCAGCAGAGGCUUCUUUGUCUCUGAUGCUGUAAUAGUCUCUUUUUCAGAAUAGGCUUUAAUCAACACAAGCCAUUAAUCUUAAUUCUGGGGUAAUUAAGCUUAAUACAGGGUAACUGUGUGAAAAUUAGUGGGCUGGGAUGUACGGGAAGUCAGACAGGGUAAUUCUCCCUGGCCGGACAGUAUGCAAACCAGCUCUGUAUCCUGAUGUGAGCCCAAGGCUUGCUGUGCAGCAUUGGAAGAAGGCAUGUCUUGCCCUAAUAACCAGACAGCCUUCUGCUCUGUUCCUACAGAAGCUGGAGCACAUUGCUCAGCUAGAAAUGGCACUGGAUGAUGAAGAGGAGGCUCUACAGAAUUUUCUGCUGCGCUGCUGCUGGUUUCCAUUGUGCAUCCAGCAGGCCAAGUGAAGUCUGCAGGGUGAAGCAUUUGAGCCUGAAGCUGCAUAAAGAGGCUCCCUCCCCCUGGCAGCCUGCUGUGCCCCAAGUAACUGCAAAAUCAGCUCUUGGGGAGCAGUGUCUGCAUAGGCAGAUCCAGGACUUCUGGACAUGUGCCUGGCAGUGGCUGCAUGAGGAAAGUUCAUCUCGAGUGUAAAUGUCUCCCUAGCCAAGGCGUCCUAUGGGCAGAGGUGGCAGCAGCCACUGUCUGGAUGUGAAUGUCACUGCCCAUCACUCCUCUGCCUCGGCACGGAGCCCUGACUGGACCCUGCUGAAACCUUGGCAUUUUGGGGAGAAAGGGAUUUCUUUCUGCUUUUUGCCUGCAUUGCUUCUGAUUUUGUAGCUAUUCCUAUACCUAAUGACAGUUUUUCAGCUCCUCAUUAGUUUCAGCUCUUUCAAGUCUUCUCUUGGGCUUCAGAAGGGAGAAAAUGCAAAUGUCCCAAGUCUGGAAGAAAUAGAGUCGGGCAGCCGCUCAGACUUGGCUCCUCAUCUGAAGGCCAGAGCUGCGCUUCUGACAAUGCAGCCCCCACCCAGUUCUGAAUUGUAAGGGAUCACGCCUUGCCCUAGGUCCUUGGCUUAUCCUUGGCUGACCCUGAAUUAAAGGGCAUGAUGUGUGGCUCACUACGUCCCUAACCUGCUGUCCUAGGGACAAGAAUUACAUCUGUACCCCUCUGACACACAGCGCUAGUGGAAGGGUUGCCCUCAACACAACAGGCAGAAAUGGAUCAGCCCUGAUUUGGGAAGCUCAUGCUGCUCAAAGUGAGUGGGGAAACAGCCUGUAGAAAUCAGAGGCCCCAGGUCCUGUUCUCGAUCCUGUAGGCAGCAAGUCUGAAGUGACUGAAGAGGGCAGAGUGCUGCAGGUAUUAUCCCUGUGAACAGUGCUUUAAUGGUAAUGAAAUUAGGAAACAGACCAGUUUAAGAGCUGUCUCCUUAGCAAGUGUUAAUCACCUUGCUACCGUCAACAUCUGAAUUUAGAUUAGUAUUAAUUUCCACCAGCCAAGAAUUUGGCAGUGAGGAGCCUUAUUGUAACCUUUUCCAAUGCAAUUCAAGUGCCCCUACUGUUUGUGAUAACUGCAGUGGCAACACAAACCUCAUCUGUAUUCCCCUUCCCCUCUUCUCCUCGCUCUGAUCAAAUCCUUCAUUCAUAGUUUUUCUACCAUGCUAGGGUUUCUUGUGCAGCUCAGCUCUGAGUAAGUAGCUGUAUGAUAACAAAACAGUGCUGUCUUUGUUCUCGAAAAGCAGAGAAAUGAGGAUGUAUAAUCUUGAAAGGAGGAAGCUCACAAUGAGAAGAAAGCCACGCACGCACUGUUGUGCUCAGGCACCAGCUGGAUUGAAUUUAGCAAUGCUGUUCAGGGAAAGAGCAAAGAAAACAAAUUCAUUAUUUUGUUUUACCUCCUCCUAAUUGACCCAAAGCUAAUCAGAGCUGAUGGUGUUUCUGUGGAGUUCAGGUUAAACUGAUGACAUUCAUCUGCUUUUGUGCUUUUACCUUAUUUGCUGUGUUUGGCUCUUUUACUGCCUCUUCACACUUGUGCCCUGUGCUCACUCUUCCUGCCUGCGUGGCCACGAUGGAGUUCUUCCUUUUGGGAGGCAUCAGCUCUUCAAUCACUGUUCCAGACAGCAAACCAUCCCCAGAUCUGUGCUUCCUCAAGGGAACCUUCUGCACUUCCUUUAUCACAUGGGCCCACCCUGACAGCCUGGCCAAGUGUGCUGCAAGGAAGCCUCCAUCGUGUCUCUUCCCGGGUGGUUUCCAGCAAAUACAAUCAAUUCACCAUGUUCACAGAUCUGUGUGUCACCUUUAGGUAUAAAUAUAUAAAGACAUGUAUUCACUUCCACUGCAACUAGUGGCAACCUGCUGACUUCUGCAGGUGAUGUUUGGUGUCUCCCACAAGGGCUGUAUAAAAUACAUAGUUGAUAUGAUAUGACUGAUAUGAUAUGACAUGACAUGACAUUAGUUGUUUUUUUUUCUCUGUAUACAUAAAUAAAGGCAUCACUUCUGCAGUUUACAGGCAGGCACACAAAGGAUGGGGACAAACCUCUGUGCCUGGGAGCUGGCCUUUAGGGAGCCAAGAGCUGAUCUGGGAAGCAGGGGAAGCGCAGCACUGCUUUAUUAGCCUGUAACCCUGCAAAGCCUGCCCAGACAUUCAAGGCACACUGUGGGCAGGAAAGGGGGAUGAAGAACAGGUGGAAACCAGUGCAUGCAUGUUUAAUUUGAGAGCUUGCAAACAGACCUGGGGAAUAUUGCAUUCCCUGCUCUGUUGAGUCCACUCUGUAGUCUACUCCACAGAAUGCGCACUCAGGAUAGAUUCUCUUGGGAAGUUUGGUUUCUUCAUCUGAUGACAGAAUGCUCAAGAUGGCUACAGGGCAGUGAGCUGAGAGGGAAGGAGAGGCAGGGCCAGCCCAAGAGGGACUAGACAGCUGCAGAAAUCACCCAGAGAUGCUCUAGAGGAGUGGAGAGUGGAUGCAGGAGAAGAGGCACUGAGAGUAUUGAGUCUGGGGAGCUCAGUGAAACCAAGAAAGGGCUUAUUGUACAAGGCAAGACCAGGAGAACAGAAGGUAGAUUUGGGCUAGUUUUUUGGUUAUUUUUGGUGGUGGUGGUGGGUCUUUGUUGUUGUUGUUUUUGAUUUUGGUUUUUUGGGGUUUUUUUUUCAGUGUUAGUCCUUUUUGUGCGUCCUGAAAUAACUUUAGGAGUUCAUUGCUCAGGUAGGUGCUGCAGUAUAAGUUAGCUGUGAAGGCUGCUGUUGGCAUAUUCAGGGGUUGGCUGGGUAGAUCCACCCCAAAGCCCCUGAGCCUUUGGAAUCCCCGUGCUGCUAUUCUCCUUCCAGCUGAUUUCUGUGGCCCUCUCUGUCUGGUUGCUUCAGCACUCAGCCCAGCCCAAUGUGUGGGCUGGCCCUACCAGUGACCACGGUGGGAAGUUGGCUGUGGGGACCCCCGUGUUGCAGUGCCACUGCAGUGCUCAGCCUGAGUGGACAAGUCAUAGAAUCAUAGAAUCAUGGAAUGGCCUGGGUUGAAAAGUUUCAACCCUCUGCUACGUGCAGGGUCACCAACCACGAGAUCAGGCUUCCCAGAGCCACAUCGAGCCUGGCCUUGAAUGUCUCCAGGGAUGGGGCAUCAGGUCUCCUCUCUGGGCUCUCAGAUUCUCUUUCAUUGGUGGGAUGAGGCCACCUUCUUCAGGGUCUUCAGGGUCCUUUGGGCCUCCUUCCUGCAGCAAAGUGGUUUCCCUGCACAUUCCCAUCAGUGCGGUUGUGACACUGGAAUUCAUUACGACUGUUACAACUGCAGGAAAUAAACAGCGGGAGCAGAUGGGCUUCCUGGGAACAGAAAUCCUGUCUCUCUCUCUCUGAACAUCCUCAAUAAUUACAAUCACAUGCAAAAACACAGGAAGGAAGGAAAAAAAAAUGCCAAAGGCUUGGGGCAGAACUGCCUUAGCACAGGAGUGAGCCCUUUCUGGUAGGUGGCUGCAGCAUGGUGGGCCAGCUGCAGCUGGAAGGGACCCCCUGGUGCUCCUCUCUUCAGGAGCUGCUGUGUGAAGGUUUCCUCGCUGCCACCCCAAAGCACUUGAUCUGCAAUUCCUGUUGUUCUGUGCAGAAAUGCCUCAACCACAACAAAAACGAUGUGCUUUAAUGUGGUAUUUGCAAGACGGGAAUACUGCAGGAGGCUGUGGGGAAGCGAUGGCCAAUCUAAGGCAUUAGGCACUGCUCACAGCUCCAAACCUUUUAUCCAAGCUAUCUGAGCACCUUGUACCAGAGGGGCUGUCGAUUUGUUGGCUGUUCUCCUGCAAAGGCCCUUGUUUCUGUCUAGAAUAGCUCUUCCCCGCAGCCAAUACAUAUAAAUUAUGCUGGUCUCACGGAGAAGCCUGGCAUAUUGAUGAGAAGGAGCAGCUCUGGAGCAUCACCUGUGCAAUGAGUUCCAUUCAGGAGGGUACUGCAAAGGCUAUUGUGCGCUAUUGGAAUGAGAUGAUAACUUAUAACGGGGGAAGAGAGAUUGCAAAUAGUUCUAGGAGGUCUCACAUGGGCUGUGAGGGCUUCUGCUUCUUGAGGAGGAAGGUGCUGGAUCCAAGAUGUAGGAUGCAGUUUGGGCAAGUGCCUGUACAUAACAAGAUCCAGCUGCUCCGAGUGGGCUGCUGAGGGGACAGGUAAUUACAGCUGGUAAAGAAGGGAUUUUUCCAGCCAGUUUUGAAUUUUUCUUGGAAGGAAUAUUAGAAUGUGAUAUGUAAAAAUUUCCAUGGUAAAAUUUGUAUUUUAUACUGCAAUUUUGAGUUUUUAUUCUGGGAAUAAAAUUUUAAAAAAAAAAAAAAACAACAAAAAAAAACAACACCAAAACCUAAAAUCAAUGUUAUUUUUUUAUUUCCUAUGAAAGGACCAAAUGUUCUAUGGGUCAGGAACCAGUUUUCCAGCAACUCCCAUUAAAACUGGUGGCAAUUUGCUGGCUUAUGGAGGUGACAUGUGGCAUCUCCCACAAGGACUAAGACCUACAGUAACACCUCACCUUUACGUGAGAGUGUCUCACACCAUAUUUGCUCCCUGAGAAAAUGGCACAUCACCCGAAAAGCCCUUUGAAAUGUGCUCCAGUCACCAUUCAGCUAUAAACACACACAUGGUACUUGAAAUUGCCAAUGCAAAUGAGCGUUGGUUUAAAAAGUUCAAUUGUCUGUAGUGAUAAAUAGAAACAGACAGCUCCAAAACAUGCAAAGAUGCACAAUCAUCCUGGCAGGAGGUAGUUAAUCAGGCAUUAAAAACCCAGGACAGAGUCCAGGCAGGGAUUAGAGUUGCUUCUUAGUAAAGCAACUGAGCUCACAUGUGAGUGCUGAUAAUACCUCUUUUUGACCUGGAACUGGAGUCAGAAAAGCAAUAUUUUCCUGUUACUCCAUGAAUAUACUAUUGUUUUGUAAAUAUUACUAUUAUUUCCUUAAUGGUGUGGAAGCCGUGGUCUGGGAUCCGGAGCUGCCAACCUCCACCUCCUGUUGGAACAGGAGUAAAAUGAGAAGACACACAGUCUGCUCUGACCCAGCCCAUUGCUCCCCCAAGCAGAGACAGAAACCAAGGUUGACCAUUGCUUCUGAAGGUGCAUGGCUUGUCGGGGUUUAAUGCCAAAAUUCCACCGUGUUAUCAGUGCCAGGACAGCACUUUUGCAGGACAGCAAUAAGGUACGUGGGCUUGAGCCUCACAGUGCUCAAGCAGUCUGUUUGGGCUUGACACCUGGACUGUGCCACGUUUACACCCAGGCAAUGAUCUGGGUGUUUGGCCUCUGGGCUGAGGGCUUCAUCCUGCAAAGCUCGUACCUCCACGCUAUGCUUUGUGAGGGCUCUGAGGGCCCCCUCACAUCACGAGGAGGUUGCUACUACACUGACCAGGCACUGCAAAGGGCCAGGCAGACCAGAAGGAACAAAACCACUUGGAAAGUGUAGAUGUUGAAUACAGAUCAGUGCGAUCAUCCGCCUCAUCCUUCGUAGCGGAACUGUGCAGAUGUGAGAGCCUGGGAUUAACAGGGCCCCGAGCUCCUCACUGAGGGGAUUCAAGGAUAGGUUUGAGCUGCGAUCAAUCUGAAGAGGCUCAAGCACAGCUGCCCUUGUGCCCAGUGACCACAUUCCUGCUCUGAUCACCAGCUACUUUCCCUUCCUAACAGUCUGCCUCUCAGCCCUGCCAAAGCCUCCCCUGUCCAGCCAAGCUGGUGCUCGCCAUCAUUUGUUGGAUCCUCGUGGGUUACUUACUUAAGUACAACUGUUAAGAGCAAUUGGACAACUGCCAGAUCUGCAGGAAGCAUCACCAGGAUUGCACCUCCAGCUUCACGUGCUCACCAUCACUGCUUGGACUUUCUGGUCCUUUCCAGCACAGGGCAGGGUGGGCUUGUUCCCAUGCUCUGCCAAGCAGAUCUGGUGGGAGGGGGUGUAAGAAGAUGACGACGAGAGCCCUGUAGAAGCCAGGCAAGGAAGCCUCGAAUGCUGCCUAGACCUCUGUUAACCUUUCGUCCUGCCAUCCACCACCCUGCCAAUAAGAGAAUCCCUUUCAAAAGUGAAGCACAAAAAGUCCAAACCAGCACGUUUCCCUCUUUUCUUUGGGGAAAAGACUGCAGUGAUGAAUGGACAAAUGGAGCUGGUCCCCAGUGCUAAACUGCAAAAACCACAGGCUUCAGCAAAGCCCUUCAAGCCCUCCUGUCCCCCAGCAGAGUUACUGCUCCUCUCUUCUGACUCAGGUCUGGAAAUAUCAAGAGAGGUGCUGGUCUGAACCUGACUGCACAGCGCCGAGGGCUGUGAGACUGAGAAGCUUAAAAGGGAGCAGAGGAUUGCGUCCGCCCAGCACGGCCUGGGAGAAGAAAGGAAUAAAUGGAGAAGCAUUUCAGCACUUACCUCUCAUUUCUACCAUCGCUAUACAUAACAAGUGCCUCUGCAUAUUUUAUAGCACUUAAAAAGAAACAAGUGUAGCUAGUGUAGAAGCUGGCGUGUUCAGGGAAACUCAAAACAUGUGCAGCCAUAAAAAUCCUUCAUUUGAUGCCAAGCUAUCGCAUUUUCUAGUGUCUGAAAGGCAAAUGAUGCUACAGGAGUCCCCCAUGCUUUCUCUCAGCCUGCUCACAAUCACUGUUACAGAUCCAGAGCAUUCAGCUCAGCUCCCCUCAGCUCCUAGUGGCUGAGCAGAACAAAAACAUCGACGCAGCAUCUCAACGAGUUUUGCUGUAUUGCUGGCACACAACACAGAUGUUUAGGUAGCAAACGCAGGCUCCAUCCAAGGGUGUGCCUUUUGAAGAGGAGAGAGCAGAAACGCUUUCACCCAGUUAAAAGAAAAAACAACAAGUAGUCAGAUUAUAGAGGAAGGGAUAAGCAAGGAGAUGCCAAAAUCCUGGAGAAGUGAUGGUCCUGGAGCAAUCUGCCUCCCUCUGUAAACAAGGGAAUGUGGUUUGUGGGGUUUGGCUUGUGAAAGUAUGGCCCUGUGUCCCUGAGAGCUACAGAGGGGUUGGAGAUUAACAGGGUCUCUCUGUCUGGCAUUUAUUAUAAAAGAUUUGGGAAUAUUUUGUCUUUGAAAAAGCCACUUCUCUGUCCAAACAUGGUCAACAGGUUCAGCAAAUGUCAGCAGGAUCUAUCAGAUGUUCAUGUGCACACACAAAUACUUGGUGUGGUCAUGUAGACCUUCUUCCCAUAGGAAACCAGGCAUCCCUACGUGUUUAACUAAACAUUUUGUUUUUAACAUCUCUUUCCAUUUCCCCUUCCCCCCUCCACUUGGGUAUUGAUGUAUUGGAUUGUCAGAGACAUGGGAGGAAGACUGGCAUUAGGAUUAAUGGUGAGGGAUGUCGGUUCUCUCCAGAGCUCUUGCCUCAUUCCACUUUGUGUGAUGGCUGGGAGAAGCACCUCGGUCAAGCCUGUCAUCCUUAUCAAAAAGAUCCUGGCUGCAAAAGGAAAGCCAUGUGUUGAGCCAGGAAAGGGGUGAACAUGCUGGGUGUGCAGGUGGCAGCAGCAGUCUGGUUGCAGCAGCUGGGGCCAUCCCUGACCAUAACCUACAUAAGGAGAAGGCUGAAAUCAGUUACGUGAGCAAGCAGGCAGGAGCACCGGAUUCUGGUGUGAGAGGGAGUGAGAUUCAGCCACCUGAAGGCAUCUCCCUGCAGGAGAAUUACCUUCCCUAUAAAGCAGCAGGCAUCGCUCUUAAGUGUUUUCAAGCUUAAAUUGUUUCCCUAGGUGACAUCCUGGUAAGUGGAUUUCCCAAUUAAGCACAAUCCAAUUAAGUGGGAGGUACUGUAAUUACCAAGUGCUCAGCGCGAGGCAAAGAUCAGAUCCAUCUAUGGCAGAAGGGCUCUUCUCCACUCAGGAAGGGGCUGUAGCGAGGUGCUUCUGUAAGCAUGAAGGUGGGCAGCUCGGACAUGAGGCUUUGCAGCCCCCUCUCUGCCAGUCAGCAUCUUCUGUGUCCCCACGGGGACCAAUUCCCGGUGCCAAUGCCCUGAGUUGCCGAAGCUGUGCAAGCAGAGUCGUGCAGCCUGCGCAGCUCCUCCAGCUCCGCACCGCUGGUUUUACAGUGCCACCCACUGGCAGGGGCUCCCACAAGCCCUCUUCUGCAGCUCUGCUCCUCCGCAUCUGAUGUUCCAAUGAUGAAAUAUUAGAGGGGUAGCUCUGGUGGGCAUCAUCCAUAGAACGGAUCCCACGUGUGCUGUCCCGGGCCAUCUGGAAGCGUUUUGGAAUCCGUUCUGGUGUGUCUCAGUGUCUGCUGAGCCCACACAGCAAAGUCGUUGGGUCUGCAGCGUGCCAGAUGUUGGCUCAGGCUGUGUUUAAGGACAGUCAAAUGGUGCAGUGCUAUGUCCUGCCUGCGGAGUGGUAGGGCGGGUGAUGAGCCUCCUUCUCGUCCUUGCUGUGCUGAGCACACCAAAUGCAGGGCUCGGUCUGCAUAGGAGGCUGUGUUAAUGUUCUUCCAAGCAGGAGAAAAUACAAACCGUGGCUGAUUCUGAAUGCCCCACUGCACAUUAUUAAGCGUGCAGCCCCAUGGAGAGCAUGCUCCCAGCAGGGGAGGGCUGGGGACUUGUGCAGGACAGAUGGAUGUUCUCCUGCCAGUGCACAGCACAGCGGUCAGCCUGGUCUCUCUGAAUGUGCUCUGUCCUUUCCUGAGUGCUGCACUCGCCUCUGCUGCUGGUUGAAUGUGUGAUGUAAGUCCAGCUGACAAGCAGAAGGAAAGAUGCAGCUGUCAGGGUUUCUGCACAGCAAGCUGCUCCUCACAAGCUACAUUUUAAACUGAGUGCUGAUUUAAAAUCAAAUUUGACAAAUAGCAUGUUGGGGUUGUCAGGUCCUGGAGCACUGUCUUCCAGAAAGUAUGAAAAAGGCACCAGAGGAGAGCUUGGCAUAGCCUCCCAGAUAACAGUAAUUAAAGGCUUUUACACUCAGGCUCUGGAAGCUGCUCCUCUUGCAAAUUGGCCUUGAUUGAAGGGAAAGAGAAUGAUGAGACUGGAGGAAAGUGAUGGGGCCGGCAGGAGAAAACACAGAGGUAAGUCUCAGUUUUUUCUUUUUUUACCCCACCUCCUUGUCCCAGCCAGGGUGGAGGCAGCACUGCUCCUGGGCUGGCUCUGCAGUGCACUGGUGGAGAUGGAAGAAAAAGAGGGGCCCCACAGCUCUGCUCCUGCCCCAGAGCAUCACCCAGCACUGAGGGAAACAUUCCCGUCCCCCAAAGCAUUCCAGGUUCAGUGACACCAGGGUCACCCAUCCCAGUGUAGCAACCCCAAAACUGAGUUAUCCCCAUGCAGGGGUUGUGCCCCUAUGUGAUCCCCAGGAUUAAAGCUCUCUUCUCUGCCUGUCUUCAGCUGGAUAUCUUUAAGUACAGCCCUGCAAGCAGCAAAACCCAUGGCCAGAUUGUCUGCAGAUGAGUGGGAGGCAAGCCCCACAUCUUACAUUUGGUGCUUGUUAAUAUUUGGAUAAGACAAGCAGAAUGCUUCAUCCAGGGCGGUGCUUGUGUUUGCUGUAAGCCAAUACCUCUGCGGGGUUACCAUGAAAUUCAAGGCAGCUUGUGAAAAACACUGGGAUAAGGCAUGACUGCAGGCCACUGGCAGCAAGGUCCUUUGAGCCAGGGAAAAGUCUGUGUUUGAAGCCAAAGGGAAUGCACUGGGAGAGCAGCCAGACCCAGACACGGUUCCUGGAGGAUGUGGGGAGAUGCCCUGAGCUCCCACUCUGGCAGUUGAUGCAUCUCUCUGUCUUCCCGGCUCUUUGCAGGAGAAGCUGCUUUCUGCAGGAGCUGGGCAGGUCAGAAAGGAGCAGUAGCAACCUGCCAGUGGCUCUGCUCACAUUCACACCAGCCAUUGGGGUCAGCCCAUUGCAUGUUGCGUUUAGCACAAUAAAACAUCUGGGAAACGAUAUCUCAGUUCAACGUGCCCUGAAUAUCUUUAACAAUCCCCACAGCUGCCUGCAUGCCCUGUGCUGCAUUUGGUUGCAAGCUGUGCUGUCAGGAGGCCUUUAACCUUGCUGGUGCCAAAAUGCACCAUGGUGUCCCUGCUGCCUGCCACUCCCAGCUCUGCAGCAGCGUGACUUGACAGAAGAUGGCAGGGGUUGGAAAAGGGUUGGGAUGCCAUUGCCAUAGGAACGGGUUAGUGUUCGGAAGAGUAGGAAUGAGAACAACUCCAAAAGUAAUGAGUUGUCCCUCUGAUGAUGUGGGGAUCAGGGGGAUUUAGUUAGGGGAAGCAUUAUGCUCCAAAUAAUGAGGGUCCAUAAGCCGCAUCUCCAUGUUUGCUUCCUCCAGAAGGGCUCUGCUGACAGUCCUGGAAAACCAUCUGACAGGGAGCACAGAUACAGCUCCUGCACAGCAGCUGAGCCGCAGCUCUGCACUCCCGGGAUGAAAGGCACAGCGCCGUGCAAUAUUCAUUCACUCAUCCUUCCUCUCUUCAUUCAUUCAUCCAUUCAUCUGCUUCAUUCACAUUUCCCUGGCACUUUAAUGAGCAGUGCUGAGCCCCUAUAGUCCUGCAGAGCCUGUCUCCAGUGCACAACCUCGUGGCUGCAGAUGGCCAUCCCGAAGCUCAGGCUCAGGCAUUUUGCAGGGCAGAUGCUGGUGUGGCCAGAGCAUGGCCUGUGGUGUGCCUAGCCAGUCACCUGGGCCCUUCAAUCCCACUACAAUCCUGGUGGCAUUGUUGUUCCUGUGGUUUCUCUUUGCUCUACCUUGCAAUUUGUUCAAUUCACGUCCUCCUUGUGGGAGCACAAGGAGGGGGAUUGCAUCAAAACUGCAAACAUGGAGGCUUUCCUUCUUUCUGCUGUGUCUCUAGGAAGGACAGAAAGGUGCUUUAGGAGCAUCUCCCCUCCUCAGCCACGUCAGAGCUGCCAGGUGUCUGAUUGGAGAGGCCAUUGCAGAGGUCUCAGAUGGACACUGAGAUGGCACAGUCCUAACCAGAACCUGGCUUUGCCCCACGUUCUCUCUCUGCCCAGAGGCAACAGGGACUGGAGGCAGCAAUUCCAGGCCCCGCAGAGCAGGAUUUUCACCACUUGUAUGCAGACAUGACUCUUGAAGAGAGGGGCUGGGUAGAAAUCCAGCAAAGAUUAAAAGGAGACAAUAAUUUCCCUGCCGAUGAUCUCACUCAUGGAAAACAAUGCUUCUGCUUUUUCUGCAUGCGCUGCUGAUCUGUCCUCAGCUUCCCUUCAGAAACCUAAAUGCAAAGGAAGCAAACAGAAAGCAUCCGUUCUUUGUAUAAUGGAGAGAGCUUUUUCUUUUAUUCCCUGCCUUUUAUCAGGAUCUGCUGCCAUCACUGUUACUCAGCGGGUUAUUACCUCUGAGUGGAUACUUCCACCAGCAGGAGCUGCUUUGUGGUCUGCUCGGAGCAAUUAUGGAUCGGGAUCAUUCCUGCUGCGUGGUUUCAUUGCACAAGGAUUUGCUGUGCUCCACGGCCAAGGUGAGGUGAGACUCUGAUCUCUGGUUCAUGGAUCCUGAACUCCUGAAGCUGAUUUUGCCCCUUUGAUAAUAAGACGAAUUACAUGAUUUGAUGGCAGAAGAAAGUGAUGUAAAGAAAAGAGAAAUACAGCUCCAGAGUGGGAUCACCGCUUGAGACAGGGCACUUGACGCCCCAUAAGAAACACAGGACAUCCUGGUUAAAACAGAGUCACUUGAGCAGCUACAGCAUGGUUAUUUUCUCUGCAUGGCCUGCAUCUGAGAGCUGUCCUCCAAGGAGAGAAAGUGCUGUUGAACUCGCCAGAACAAAAAAAAAAGAAAAAAGAAAACCCUGCUGAGCUCCUGCUUGCUCUCCUGACCAAGCAUCCUCCCAGCCACCACUGUGUUACUGUCAUUCCCAGCAGCAUCACACUAACCACAGGAGCAGGGCUAGGUUUUGAGUCCAUGGUCAUGUUCCCAAUGAGAAAGGGCUGAAUCAGUGCCCCGUGUUGGGGCAGGGGUCCUGGAGCCCAUCCUGUAUCGGAGAGGGCAGCCAUGGUGCAUCUGCACCUGGAGGAGUGGGGAUUGUUGUCACAAGGCUUGAUCCAGUAACACCCCAAAUUUCAGAGCUUGUAAGCAGCCACUGAAAUCUUGGUAGCCUAAUUUAGCUGAAAAGCAGACCUCACAAAAAAAUAAAUGGCCUCAUAAAUACCUGAACAGGGUGUCUCUGCUAUUGAAGCUGCAGAAAUUCCCUGUGCUUUCGGGAUGUGGAUCUACAUUUGCAAUUCGAGUCUCAGACCCUUAGCAAUAAGACCCAGG